rnacentral:lncRNA from 1 species
UCUUAAUGUACUAAAAGGAAAUGUAACAACAAUUUUUAUUUUGUGUUCUAGAUAUUAAUUUCCUAAAGGAAAACCACCUUAAAAGAAUUAGUAUUCUAAAGAAAACUUCUAACAGAAAUGUAAAAUGCGAAACCUCCUUUUUUUGGAUUUUUGAGUUACAGCACACUUUUUUAAAUAUAAAGUAGAAACUACAAUAACAAAAGACUCGACAUUACUGUACAAAACUAGAAAAUAAAAGACGACAUAAAAUGAAGAAUAGACUCAAAACAUAAAAAAUAAAGCAAAUCUCCUUAAUCAACUCUUGAAUGAGCGAUUCUGACUGGAUGGUCACGGGGUGUCUGUCAUGCUCAAACUCCAGUAAGUAGAUCCACACCUGUAUGAAAAAAAAAACUCAAACCAACACUAGGUGAGACAAUAACACUCCUUAUUGGAAGCAUGCAAUACAUGAUUGAGGCUAUUUUUGCAAAAUGGCUUAUGUGACAAAAGAUGGCUAGAAAUGCAAAAUUUGGCUAAGACCCUGCAAAGCCAAGAACCUAAGAUUUACUAGGAAGACCGGACCCUAUGUAAGUUGCCUACGUAUCACGCCCCGAAAGACGAGAAUCAGGUAUGUGUAGUUCGGGCAGAUUGGAUACGGGCAAGAAUUAUAUUAAAAAAAACUAAUUUAGAGAAAACAUAUUUUUUUGUCUUUUAUUUUGAAAAAUGAUGAAACAUGUAAAAUCUUUUUGUAUUUUCUUUUUCCUCUUUUUUUUUUGGUUUUCGGAAAAUGAUGAAAAAGUGCAAAAUCUUUUUUUUUUUGAAUUUUUUUUGGGUCUUUUUCUUAACAAAAAUGUGACAGAAAAUAUAACAGGGCCCUACUUGCUUUAGUUUCAUACUUCACCCUCUUUUCUUUCUCAUUUGCCCUCAAACCUCAUUGGUCCGCCAAAUGAGCCCUUUUACCCUUGAAAAUUUGCAACAUGUAGCACAUAAGAUGCAACAGGGUAGCCUUUUAUUUUUUGGGUACACUUGUCCUAGACAAACCCAACCCCUGUGUUGAGUCCCCAAAGUCAGAUGCACGUGAUGCAAACAAGCGUUCCUACUAGGGAUUUGGUAUGAGGCUGUGUUAUUCUAGGUUUAAAAACCUGGGUUUAUUUGUUCUAGACCUGGCUUACCCGAGCGGACAGCUCGAGCCGAGGGGGGCAGCCUACCAGGAAUACAGAAGCUUCACCGGCUUUGCAACUUGUCCGAACCUCAUUCUAAAAUUGAAAUGACUCUAACAGAAGAGAAGUCACACGAAGUGUACACUUCCCAGAUGAUUUAGAAGACUCAGAUAGAAGAGGGUUUCGUAACAAUUUAUAUAUAGUUCAACAAUAUCAAAGCGGUAAAAAGUAACAUUUAGCACAUUAGGCUCAAGCAUGUAAAUAAAACCAGAUAAUAAAUAAAGCCAACUAUAAAAAUUAAUCUAAGCUCGAAUUUUAUACUCUAAACCAGAGGUUCUGGGUUCUUGUCCCCAGCAGAGUCGCCAAAGCUGUCACACCUCCUUUUUACUACACCAGAGAGGGUAUAAGGGAGUUUUUCCAAUUUAAGUGACAAUCGAAAUAGGAUUAUUUAUUUAAAAUUCAGAGUCGUCACUUGGGAUGAUUUAUGGUGUCCCAAGUCACCGGUUUAAAAUCCCGAAUCGAGGAAAGAUUGACUCUAAUUAUGGUCCGCGAACACAGAAAUCCGGGUAAGGAAUUUUGUUAACCCGGGAGAAGGUGUUAGGCAUUCCCGGGUUAUGUGGUUUUAGCACGGUCGCUCAAAUGUUAUUAUUGGCCUAUUAUAUGAUUUUAAAACAUUUUUAAACCUAUGUGCAUUUUUAACUUUAAAACUGCUUUUAUUUAUUUAAAGAAUUGAUUCAAGGUUAUUUAAAACACAUCGCAAGCCACGCUACAUGAAAUGCACCCGUAGUUCCCGACACAUUCUAUUUAACCUUGUUGGAAAUUAAGACCGGGUCAUAUGAAAUGCACCCCCGAAUUUAAGAAAUUAAUUUUAAAUAGCGCGCCUAAAGCAACAACGCACUUUCAAGUUUGCGAGGGCCAUGGAAAAUUCAAUUAAUGAUAAACCUCGAUUUCUAAAGAGUUAUCAUUAAUUAUCUGAGGGCCAUGGGUUAUCGAUAUUAUUAAUUCAAAUUAACUAUCGAAAGUUCACUGCCUACUAAACUUGUUUCCACGCCAAUUAAACCAAACAACAAGUUGUCCAAUUUAACAAACCUUUCUUAAACAUUAUAAAAUGGUUUAAGCACUCGAGUACUCCAAUUACCAAUUAUCCCAGAAAACUAACUCAAUGGCUAUAUCCAAACAAAUAGCACAGAGACAAACUUCAUGAAUUUCACAAUAGAAAAGCCUGUGUCCAGCAUGGCAGUAAAUCAAACAAAAAUGGAAAGAAUAAACCUCCAACCAAGUUACUUUACUUUUACAUAUAUAUAUUUAUCAAAUAGCCAUUCAUACUCCUAUCACGUCCUUUUAUAUCCAUGCCAUACAGUAGCUUUAUUGAUCCAAAAAAGUAAGGUAUAAACAUGUACUGAUCAAAUAUAAAUUAAGGCCGAGUUAAAUCAGAAACCAUGGCUCUUGAAGUAUUAUGUUGGAAAUUAUUGAGUUUCAAACAAAUUUGCCAUUUUAGAAAAGGCCAAAUAAGCAAAAUCUAGGUAAUAGACCCAAUUCUCUUGUAGCAUAUACCCACACAAAAAUCGACCAAAUCAGAUCCCAUAACCCACUAGCAGUAGACCCAAAUCUCUUUUCACUAUUCAGCUUAAACAAACAAAAAUAUCAUAUUUCACUCUACCAAUGAAACUAGACAAGCUUAAUGCUAAUAAAUAAUUAAUCUCAAUAAAUAAAUAACUGAAACAUGACAAAGCUCAUAAGAGCUCAACAGAUGACGGGAAGAUUCAAACAACAUUGCUAACAAAAACUUCUAUAUUUGAAAGAUGAGUGCAAAAAAGUAAUAGGUAAUUAACGAACCUUUAGAAGCCUUUUCAAAAAUGAACUUGGGUUUACACUUUCCUUAGUCACGACCAACUGAGAACUUCCAUGAAACCUCAAAAUCUCGUCGGAACUCAACUACACCAUCGUCAUCCUCAACUCAAACCCCUCUUUUUCAAACAACUAAGACCGAAACUAGCUGGGAUUUGAAUCACCUUGCAUUUCGAUGCGAGUGCUGGUUUUAGGGAGGAUGAACAGUGGAUCUCGGAACCGUAAAUGCUGGUUUGUAUAGCCGAUGGUCUGGUUUUGUUGAUUUUCAAGUGGGUUUAAGGUGGGAGAAGAGGAUUUGGGAGGGGAACGUGCUGAUGUUGUAGUGAAGAGGAAAGAAUUGUUGGGAUUUUCCUCUUUUUCUUAGAUCCCCAAUUUUCUUGCUCGCCUCCUCCUAACUCUGCCCGUUUCUUCUUUUUGUUCAUAAGAUCAAGACCCUUUUUUUUGUGUUCGCCCCCAUUUGCUGAUUAGGCGUUACCCCUAUUAUAUAGGUUUAGGUCUAAAUGUGUAUUUUUGUGCUAAUUGCUCUUAGGUCCUUAGGGUCUUUUUAUUUAUUUUUUGCUCCAAAGAAGAGUCUAGAAGGGUCCAUAGGGUUAGCUUAAUGGGUAUUGGACUUAAUGCGCUUGGGAAUUAUGGGUUAGGUCCAAAAU